UGCAGUCGACGAUGAACCACUUCGGUGGGGAUUAGUGGCGAACGGGUGAGUAACACGUGGGCAAUCUGCCCUGCACUCUGGGACAAGCCCUGGAAACGGGGUCUAAUACCGGAUACUGACCCGCUUGGGCAUCCAAGCGGUUCGAAAGCUCCGGCGGUGCAGGAUGAGCCCGCGGCCUAUCAGCUUGUUGGUGAGGUAAUGGCUCACCAAGGCGACGACGGGUAGCCGGCCUGAGAGGGCGACCGGCCACACUGGGACUGAGACACGGCCCAGACUCCUACGGGAGGCAGCAGUGGGGAAUAUUGCACAAUGGGCGAAAGCCUGAUGCAGCGACGCCGCGUGAGGGAUGACGGCCUUCGGGUUGUAAACCUCUUUCAGCAGGGAAGAAGCGAAAGUGACGGUACCUGCAGAAGAAGCGCCGGCUAACUACGUGCCAGCAGCCGCGGUAAUACGUAGGGCGCGAGCGUUGUCCGGAAUUAUUGGGCGUAAAGAGCUCGUAGGCGGCUUGUCACGUCGGUUGUGAAAGCCCGGGGCUUAACCCCGGGUCUGCAGUCGAUACGGGCAGGCUAGAGUUCGGUAGGGGAGAUCGGAAUUCCUGGUGUAGCGGUGAAAUGCGCAGAUAUCAGGAGGAACACCGGUGGCGAAGGCGGAUCUCUGGGCCGAUACUGACGCUGAGGAGCGAAAGCGUGGGGAGCGAACAGGAUUAGAUACCCUGGUAGUCCACGCCGU
rnacentral:rRNA from 1 species